ACGCUCGACACCUACGGGGGGCAGCAGUCGGGAAUAUUGCGCAAUGGAGGAAACUCUGACGCAGUGACGCCGCGUAUAGGAAGAAGGUCUUCGGAUUGUAAACUAUUGUCGUUAGGGAAGAAAAAGGACAGUACCUAAGGAGGAAGCUCCGGCUAACUACGUGCCAGCAGCCGCGGUAAUCUGAGCGGGCUGGCAAGGC
rnacentral:rRNA from 1 species